rnacentral:rRNA from 1 species
UACGGAGGGAGCUAGCGUUGUUCGGAAUUACUGGGCGUAAAGCGCACGUAGGCGGUUAUUCAAGUCAGAGGUGAAAGCCCGGGGCUCAACCCCGGAACUGCCUUUGAAACUAGAUGACUAGAAUCUUGGAGAGGUCAGUGGAAUUCCGAGUGUAGAGGUGAAAUUCGUAGAUAUUCGGAAGAACACCAGGUGGCGAAGCGACUGACUGGACAAG